rnacentral:rRNA from 1 species
CCAAUGAUUUAUAUUUAAUGGCUGCAGUAUUUUAACUGUACGAAGGUAGCAUAAUCAUUUGUUUAAUAAUUUUAGGCUAGAAUGAAAGGUUUAAUAAGAGUUAAUCUUUCUUAUUUAUAGAUAAGAGAAUUUAUUUUUUUAGUAAAAAAACUUAAGUUUUUUUAUAGGACGAGAAGACCCUAUAGAACUUAAUAUAUAAUAUAUAAUAUAUUAUAUAUUAUAUAUUUAAUUGGGGAGAUUUAAAUUUUUUUUUAACAAUUUUUAUUUUUUAUCAUUAAUUUUUGAUUUUUUUGAUCCAAUAUUUUUUGAUUAUAAGAUUAAGUUACCUUAGGGAUAACAGCGU